CACAAUCUUCAUCAUCACACAAGACACAACAACAACAAUGAACAACAUCAUCAUCCUCAUCUGGACUCUCUCACUGUUUGCUCAAGAGUGUAGAGGACAGUACACUGUAACUCAGAGUCCAUCAUUAAUAACAGCAGCUCAAGGACAAGAAGUCAGAAUAAACUGUAAAACCAGCAGUAGUGUAUGUAAUAGUAAUUACUUGCACUGGUACUUGCAGAAGCCUGGAGAAGCUCCUAAACUCCUCAUAUAUGCUGCAACAAACCGUUACACUGGAACUCCAUCUAGAUUCAGUGGCAGUGGAUCUGACACUGAUUUCACUCUCACCAUCAGUGGAGUCCAGACUGAAGAUACAGGAGAUUAUUACUGUCAGAGUGCACACUGUUCUGGUAGUGCUGUGUUCACACAGUGAUAAAGAGUCGUACAAAAACCUCGGUCAGUCAGAGUCACAGUGACUGCACUGAUACAGCUGAGAGACACUGCA